GUCCAGCAACAAUUCAUUUAUCUCUUUCUCUCUCUUCUAUCUAUAUUAAAAAAUAUACACCAAAAAUUAAAAAACUUAGCAAAUGUUUUUCUAAAGCUUUUUCUCUCUCCUCGCUAUCAAUCUCUGAACAGUCUAGAUUUGCGCUCUCUCUCUCUCUCUCUCUGCAUCCAAAUUGAGGUUUUUGUUUAGCUUGGAGUCUUAUUUUCUGGCGAAGGUUGUAAUUUUGAGGCGGCAAUCUCUAGAACAGUCGAGAUUUUCUCUCUCUCUCUCUCUCUCUGCAUCCAAAUUGGGGUUUUUGUUUAGCUUGGAGUCUUCAUUUUCUGGCGAAGGUUGUAAUUUUGAGGCGGAUUCUUGAUUUAGGGUGAGUUAUUCAGCAAGACCGAUAUAGAAAUGAUAAUUUUUAGCUAAUCUUAUAGAGUUUGUUUGUGUAGCUUAUUUUUUUGAUUAUUGCUAAGAAAGUAUUAGAAAGUUUAAAAGAUUGAAUUUUAAAUGGUGGAUUUUCAAUAUUUUGCAAUACAAUUAGCUUUAAAUUUUAGUGUUGCUUGAUUUAGUAAUUUGGAUUGGGUAGGCUGAGAUUUAGAUUUCACCUUUUCCUUAGUAGCCAAAAAGGGUUCAAUCAUUCUUCCAUUUGUAUGUGUGAGAGAUUUUUGGAUUAAUAUAGUUUGAAGAGAAUUUAUAUAUUGACUUCUAAUUAUUUGUUUUAUUCCUUGAUGGCAUGAACGAAGACGACAGAAGGAUUUGUGUUUUAAGUAUGACAUCAGAUGGGAAAAUUGCAUUUGCCUUGGAUGAUGGGUAGAAGAAAUUGAAGGAAUGUCGUGCCGGAAUCGUUUUUAGUAUUUCUUUGACGGAAUAAUAGAUUUGCAGUUCUUUAGCUAGUUUUUUUGGACUGAGUUAGAGCUUGCUUUAGAUCUACUGUGGUGAAGGUUUUCUGAAGAUUUUAAGUUAAUGUUUGUUUUGUCUAAAUUUUUGUUGGAUUAUUUUACCCUCUAUUAUAUCAGAUUUAUUUAAUUCAUAAUUAAAAAAUUAUUUUUUUAGUCACACCAGCUUACGGCCUCACACAAGUAGUCACGUCAGUAAUUUCUGACGUGGCAGGUUUAAUUUGUUGUAAUUGAAAAAAAUUAAUAAUUUAAUAUAAAAUUAAAAGAUGAAUCACCGAAGUAAAAUAUGACCUAUAAUUUAGGAUAUUAAUUCAUAUUUAAACCUUGUAUAUACAAACAAAUUUCUCAUAAAAUAUAAUGAAGGUUACAGAACACAGCAUAGAAAUAGUG
rnacentral:lncRNA from 1 species